rnacentral:rRNA from 1 species
AUGAACGCUAGCUACAGGCUUAACACAUGCAAGUCGAGGGGCAGCAUGGUCUUAGCUUGCUAAGGCCGAUGGCGACCGGCGCACGGGUGAGUAACGCGUAUCCAACCUGCCUUACACUCUUGGACAGCCUUCUGAAAGGGAGAUUAAUACAAGAUGUUAUCAUGAGUAAGCAUUUUCGCAUGAUUAAAGGUUUACCGGUGUAAGAUGGGGGUGCGUUCCAUUAGAUAGUAGGCGGGGUAACGGCCCACCUAGUCUUCGAUGGAUAGGGGUUCUGAGAGGAAGGUCCCCCACAUUGGAACUGAGACACGGUCCAAACUCCUACGGGAGGCAGCAGUGAGGAAUAUUGGUCAAUGGACGAGAGUCUGAACCAGCCAAGUAGCGUGAAGGAUGAAGGUUCUAUGGAUUGUAAACUUCUUUUAUACGGGAAUAAACGAAUCCACGUGUGGAUUUUUGCAUGUACCGUAUGAAUAAGGAUCGGCUAACUCCGUGCCAGCAGCCGCGGUAAUACGGAGGAUCCGAGCGUUAUCCGGAUUUAUUGGGUUUAAAGGGAGCGUAGAUGGGUUGUUAAGUCAGUUGUGAAAGUUUGCGGCUCAACCGUAAAAUUGCAAUUGAUACUGGCAGUCUUGAGUACAGUUGAGGUAGGCGGAAUUCGUGGUGUAGCGGUGAAAUGCUUAGAUAUCACGAAGAACUCCGAUUGCGAAGGCAGCUUACUAACCUGUAACUGACAUUGAUGCUCGAAAGUGUGGGUAUCAAACAGGAUUAGAUACCCUGGUAGUCCACACGGUAAACGAUGAAUACUCGCUGUAGGCGAUAUACAGUCUGCGGCCAAGCGAAAGCAUUAAGUAUUCCACCUGGGGAGUACGCCGGCAACGGUGAAACUCAAAGGAAUUGACGGGGGCCCGCACAAGCGGAGGAACAUGUGGUUUAAUUCGAUGAUACGCGAGGAACCUUACCCGGGCUUAAAUUGCAACCGAAUAUGGCGGAAACGCUAUAGCUAGCAAUAGCGGUUGUGAAGGUGCUGCAUGGUUGUCGUCAGCUCGUGCCGUGAGGUGUCGGCUUAAGUGCCAUAACGAGCGCAACCCUUGCCGAUAGUUACUAACAGGUUAUGCUGAGGACUCUGUCGGGACUGCCAUCGUAAGAUGUGAGGAAGGUGGGGAUGACGUCAAAUCAGCACGGCCCUUACGUCCGGGGCUACACACGUGUUACAAUGGGGGGUACAGAGGGCUGCUACCACGCAAGUGGAUGCCAAUCCCAAAAACCUCUCUCAGUUCGGAUUGAAGUCUGCAACCCGACUUCAUGAAGCUGGAUUCGCUAGUAAUCGCGCAUCAGCCACGGCGCGGUGAAUACGUUCCCGGGCCUUGUACACACCGCCCGUCAAGCCAUGGGAGCCGGGGGUACCUGAAGUGCGUAACCGCAAGGAGCGCCCUAGGGUAAAACUGGUGACUGGGGCU